CGGCUGCUGCGGGAGUGCGUCUACCUCCUUCUCUGCAGCUGGUGCAUCCGUGAGCUGCUGGACUAGGGAAUGCCCCCUCCCCCCUACUUCAGUACUGCAGGACCUCCAGCACUCCCUGCCUGCCCUGCCUCUGUGGGACUGUGCUUGUCGCCACGUGUUGAUGGAGCUGACGGACCCCCGGCGCUGGGACGCUGCACUCCCCACAGUCGUAGACCCCCAGUAAACCUGAACAGCGCCUGACUGGCUGCAUCUGUUUGGAGA